ACGGAGGGGGCUAGCAUUGUUCAGAAUUACUGGGCGUAAAGCGCGCGUAGGCGGUUCGUUAAGUCUGUCGUGAAAUCCCCGGGCUCAACCUGGGAAUGGCGAUGGAUACUGGCGAGCUAGAGUGUGUCAGAGGAUGGUGGAAUUCCCGGUGUAGCGGUGAAAUGCGUAGAGAUCGGGAGGAACAUCAGUGGCGAAGGCGGCCAUCUGGGACAACACUGACGCUGAAGCACGAAAGCGUGGGGAGCAAACAGGA
rnacentral:rRNA from 1 species